rnacentral:lncRNA from 1 species
CGACAUCUUUCUGAACUCCCUCGACCAUCCGAACUUCUCCGAUAAUGAGCUUCUCCAUUUAUCUAUCAGGCCGCUCCAAAGGCUCUUUGGGCUUCACUAUCAGCCGAGCUCCUAUAGUGGAUGGAUUUCGGACGAGCUUCUACAACGGGACAGGCUCCACCAGCCACGACCCUACUCCGAACUUCUUCCAGACUUUGUCAAUAUCCGAGCUUCUUCGACGAUGAGAUUUCGAUAGUAACCAGAUUCCAUCCAAGUUUCUAUGAUGGUCGACCAUCUUCCGAAUUUCAUCCGAGCUCCUACGAGAAUCGAAUUUUGGUCG